rnacentral:lncRNA from 1 species
CAGAACCCAAAGUUACGUUGAGUGCUGGGGGCAUUUUGAAUUGGGUAUCUGUCUGUCUGGAGUGGCCCUCAGUCCCUUCUACUGCUGUCCCCAUUUCUCUCUGCCAAGACUGUCCCGCAGAGGGUGAGCCAAGCCCUCCAGAAGAGCUGGAACAGGAGGGAAGGCAGCCAGUGAAGGCAGCCGGAGCCUUGCUGUGAAAUGAGAGGACCUUGUUGCAGGCAGCCAGCCAGCCAGCCAUGCUGCCGGCCCACGGCAAUGGGAUGGGGCUUUACCCUGGUUUUCGGAAGUGCUCUGAGCCCUCGGGAAGGCAGGAAGUACAACAGGCUGAAGUCAUAUGGUUCCCUUCUACACGGUGUGGUGGAAACGGCAAAGCCUUUGGAGCCAGCAGACCAUAACUUCAUACACUCAGCUUUCAGAGCCACUGUAAGGAUAAAUAAGCUUAUGAAGAUGUAAAAGGAGAUUGGAGACACCAUCUCUGUGGUCUGCUUUCAGCUUUCAUGCGAUACAACUGAAAUUCUGAAGUUUUCAUUUUUUACCUAUCAUGGCAAGCAGAAGAAAAUUGAUAGAAGAAGAAGUUUCACAAUUAUUACAUAAAUCAGAAUAUGAAUGCAAAGAGGCAGUAGCACUCUAGUUUAUAAGCAAAUGAUGAUGGUGAGAUGGAUUAUGUAAGAGAAAUCUUAGCCUAUGGAUCUUUAGAUGAUAUUCUGGAUGAUUUUUCCCAAAGUCAAUUAUCAAUGAAUUAAGGAUAUGUUUUUAAGGGCGAAAAGGAAAUACGGUAUUUUCAUUCUGUUAGUCACUCAACAAAUGGACUUAAUUACACAAUAUCUAUGACAAGAGCCUGAACCUUUCUAUUUUGCUAAAAAGGCGUAUGACAAUAAUCCUUAAUCUUUUAGAUUUCUGUACACAAAAAUUUGCUUGAAGUGGUUUGUGAAUGGACAAAUGUUGAAGGCAGGUGUGUAUGCAAAGAGGAAACAGAUGACGUAGAAAUGAAAAUAUUAAUUGGAUUGAAGAUUUUAAAUUAUGUUUAUAACUCUGAAAAUGAAAAUGUUUGCAAUCAUGGAGCAAAGAAGAUGACCAAUAAAAUUAUGAGCCAUCAAAGCUUUCCAAAGUAUUGUGUUUUGAUGACGCAAAUGCAAUCAGAAGAACCAUCAGAAACGACAAGCUAGAACCAAUUAGAGAUACAUUUGAAAUCUGGAAUCAGUAUGUACAAGAUGAAUAUGUUCCAGGUUCAUGACGUUUGAUGAGUGGAUGGUUUCAGUCAAACUUUGUUGUCUAUUUCAGGUAUGUUACCUUCAAAACUAGGAAAAUGUGGAACAAAUUUUGGGUUUAUUGUUUUUAAAUCUUAUUAACGUUUCUAACAAAGUUGUUCUUCACCGUCUGUGGUGGUCAGCCUCCAAGAUGGCCCCACUAAUCCCCGUCUCCUGGUACCCACACCCUUCAGUUGUCCCUCCCACACUGUACCGUGGUUGGUCUUCGUGACCAAUAGCAUAUGGUGGAUGUGAUGGUCUGUCGCUCCUGAGAUUAGGUUGUAAAAGAUGUGGCUUUCAUCUUGGGCUCUCUUUGAUCGCUUGCUCCGGGGAGAUGUCAGCCGUCCUCUUGCGAGGCCCCAUAUGGAGAAGAACGGAGGUAUCCGGCCAACAGCCACUGAGGAACCGAGGCCUGCUAACAACAUGUGAGUGAGCCUGAAGUGGGUCCUCCAGCCGUAGAUGACUGUAGUGCUGGCUGCUGGGCUGACGGCAACUGGAACUGGCUACAUAAUUGAUGGCAUCCAGUGGAAAAUGAAAAUGAGGGGGCUCCUUGUUCAAAAAUUAUAAAAAAUUUCAAGACAGCAACAGCAGAGUAUUAAGCCAAGUGUGGGACUUUUCAUGAUUGCGUAGGUCGCAUGCUUAUGAAGGUGGCCCUGACUGCAACCUCAGGAGAGACCUUGAGCCAGAACUACCGAGCGAAGCCACUCCCAGAUUCCUGACCCAUAGAAAUGCACGGAGAUAAUGUUUGUUGUUUUAGGCUAAGUUUUGGGAAUAAUUUGUUAUGUAGCAACAGAUAACUGACACAUUAUCCCUUUAUUCCUAUUUCUGUAAAUUAUUUGUAAAAUGACUGAAAAAUAUAAAAAACAUAAAAUGACCUAGAUGGUAAAUGAUAAUAAGUUUUUUUCCCUGGUCUGCUGAGAGUUAAAGAGAUAAGAGUGAUCCAGUUAGUUGCAAAUUUAGUUCCACGUUCCCUCCCACUUCAGUGCCUUUGCACAUGCUGUUUGCCAUGCCUAGAAUGCCCCCCUGCCACUUUCUCCGGCUUAAACCUGACAUCCUUCAGAUCUCAAACAUCACUUCCUCAGGAAAGUUGACCCUCCAGACUGAGUUAGGCACGCCUUUUAAUAACUUCCCACCCUACACAUCUUUGCAGUACUGUGCACACUUGUAAUUAGUGAAUUAAUUAUUGAUAAUUAGUUGCUUAAUGUCUGUCUUCCCACUAAACUGUAAGCUCCUUGAAGUCAGUCACCUUCUGUCUUUGUUCUCAUCAUAUACCCAGUGCCCAGCGCAGUGCUUGGCACACAGUAG